GCGGCCCCAAGUCAGGCGAGGUCCACCCGCCGAGUUUAA
rnacentral:rRNA from 1 species